rnacentral:rRNA from 1 species
AUUGAACGCUGGCGGCAGGCCUAACACAUGCAAGUCGAACGAGUGCCGGACGGGUGAGUAUGUUCUGGGAAACUGCCUGAUGGAGGGGAUAAACUCAUGGAACCGGUAGCUAAUACCGCAAACAUUCAGUUGUGCCCAGAUGGGAUUAGCUAGUUGGGGGGGUAACGGCUCACCAAGGCGACGAUCCCUAGCUGGUCUGAGAGGAUGACCAGCCACACUGGAACUGAGAAACGGUCCAGACUCCUACGGGAGGCAGCAGUGGGGAAUAUUGCACAAUGGGCGCAAGCCUGAUGCAGCCAUGCCGCGUGUAUGAAGAAGGCCUUCGGGUUGUAAAGUACUUUCAGCGGGGAGGCGUUACCCGCAGAAGAAGCACCGGCUAACUCCGUGCCAGCAGCCGCGGUAAUAC